UACGAAGGGGGCUAGCGAUGUUCGGAAUUACUGGGCGUAAAGCGCACGCAGGCGGAUUGAUAAGUCAGGGGUGAAAUCCCGUGGCUUAACCUCGGAAUUGCCUUUGAUACUGUCUGUCUUGAGUCCGGGAGAGGUGAGUGGAAUUCCUAGUGUAGAGGUGAAAUUCGUAGAUAUUAGGAAGAACACCAGUGGCGAAGGCGGCUCACUGGCCCGGAACUGACGGUCAUGUGCGAAAGCGUGGGGAGCAAACAGG
rnacentral:rRNA from 1 species